ACUGGGGGCCUCUGGGUGUUUUUAUGCUGGGUGCAAGGGCGGUGCAGCGGGAGCGCCCCCCAGGUGUGGGGCACUCCUGGACAUGUCUGGGUAGGACCCCCUCUUGUGGAGAAGCAGGAGGUGGGGUCUCACUAAGGUGAGGCAAGCACCUGGGGGUGCUGACUGGGCUUAGAUACAAGAUUGCAGCCCUCUUCAUGGAAGUGGGCAAGAACUUUCUGGUGGCCUAUGAACUGAGCCGCAAGGUGCAGGACCUGGAGCCGCUGAUCGAGAGCCCAUGAGUGUGGGGCAUGGGGUCUGGGCUGGGGCAUCCCUACAGAGGACAGUCCAGGCUCCUCCCUGUGCUCUGCCCGAACCAGCACCUCCUGGCACUGUCUGCACUCUCCUCUCUGCUCCUCAGGCCCGCCAGACUCUUUCCUUCCCCAGGGCAUUUGCACAUGCUAUACCAGCAAACCCGAGUCACAAGCCUCAUCUUCCGGGGCAGGUUCCUUGUCGUCAUCCAGGCCUUCCCCCAGUUCAGGGUAAAUUCCAACCCUCACCCCAUUUCUCUUCUAUAUCUGCCUUUUCAUUUUCUCCCCUGUGGUUAUCACCACCUCUAAUUGUUCAUUCCUUUGUGUACUUUUUACUUGAUUGUUGUCAAUCUCUCCUACUUGGCUUUGAACUCCAUGAGAAUAGGCAACUAAACUCUGUUAUUCCCUGUUUUGUCCCCAGUGUCUGGACAGUGGCCAGCACCUGGUAAAUGCUCAAGGAAUGGUUGUUGAAUGAGUAGGUGUCUGCUGGUAGCCAAACCCGUUCUGAAUGCAGGAAGACCAGAGUUUAAUGAAACCACUCUGGUCUCCGUCUGCACGGACCGGAUCCUGACGCUGAGGCAACAAGGGGAAGAGGGACCUGACUCAUGUGUCUCGAGGGCUGAUUAGCUGGGGGAGGCUCGUGGCCUGAGUGCGUGCACAUGACCUUCCACCGCAGUCCUGACCAUGCGGUUUGAGUCUAUGCCAGCACCUCGGUCUGGAGCCUGGUCAGGGGUGGCAAGUAGGUUUCCAGUCCAGCUGGUGCUAGUGGCCUCCCAAAGGAAAGAUUCUGGAGCCCUGGAGCCGUGAUUGGGCGUCACGGGAAAGAAUGUGCGGCUUGAUUAGCCUUGUCUGUUUCGGGCAAGGGCAGGGAGCGAGAGGCGCACAUGCUGUCUCUGACGAGGGUGAUCACUCCACAUCCGUGCUUGGGAAAUGGCCCUUUCCUCCCCUUUCAGGCUGUGCCAGCCCAGAGCUGCUGGCCAGAACUGUGGGAUGGUCAAGGCUCUGGACUUAGCAUUGCCAGCUCCCCUUUGGAAUCGGACUCCUCAGCCACUUGGUCUUCAAGGUGCCUUCCAAUUCAUCUGCUAACUUCCCAAGUGUUUGCUGAGAACUUCUGAAACGGAUGGAUUUCCAUGGGCCUUCCAUAAUAUCGGGAACGACUUUCUAAUGGAGAAAUUAGAGGUACCUAUGCCAGGCGGUAGGGGAGAGCCAUUCCUUCAUUUACACAAUCGCUCAUUCAUCACAGAGGGAGGAGGAGAGAGACAGAGAGACGAAGACAAGUAUCACUAUGAGAAUCAACAGUAUAUGAAGGGGUCUGUUUUACCACAUCUUCACACUCACCAGGCGAAACCAGAUCCAGGGCCUCCAGGAGAAUGUGUGGAAGCUGCCGAAGCUGCCUAUCCUGUCCCAGCUUGCUACCAAGCACUUGUGGGUCCGCACUGCCUUGUUUGAGAAGGUCCUGGACAAAAUUGUGCUUACUUGGUGGAAAACAGCAGCUCAGAUUAACCUGGUGUAAAGGUUUUCUACCAUGAAUACUCCUGGCCAGCAUUUAUCCAUCCAUCCAUUCAUUCAUCCAGUAAAUACUGGGUGAGCACCUACCAUGUGCCAGGCGCUAACCAAGAUGCUGGAGUUACAUGGGUCUUACUUGUCAUGCUAAAAGCUUGGAUGUUAUGCUAAGUGCAUGGGGGAGCCCGCAAAGAAUGUAUAAUCUGAGACU